rnacentral:rRNA from 1 species
GACGAACGCUGGCGGCGUGCUUAACACAUGCAAGUCGAACGCUGAAGCUCAGCUUUUGUUGGGUGGAUGAGUGGCGAACGGGUGAGUAACACGUGAGUAACCUGCCUCCUUCUUUGGGAUAACGCCCGGAAACGGGUGCUAAUACUGGAUAUUCACUGGUCUUCGCAUGGGGGUUGGUGGAAAGGGUUUUUCUGGUGGGGGAUGGGCUCGCGGCCUAUCAGCUUGUUGGUGGGGUGAUGGCCUACCAAGGCUUUGACGGGUAGCCGGCCUGAGAGGGUGACCGGUCUCAUUGGGACUGAGAUACGGCCCAGACUCCUACGGGAGGCAGCAGUGGGGAAUAUUGCACAAUGGGCGCAAGCCUGAUGCAGCGACGCCGCGUGAGGGAUGGAGGCCUUCGGGUUGUGAACCUCUUUCGCUCAUGGUCAAGCCGCAACAAUGGUUGUGGUGAGGGUAGUGGGUAAAGAAGCGCCGGCUAACUACGUG